GAUGAACGCUGGCUACAGGCUUAACACAUGCAAGUCGAGGGGAAACGACGGGGAAGCUUGCUUCCCCGGGCGUCGACCGGCGCACGGGUGAGUAACGCGUAUCCAACCUUCCUCUGACUGAGGGAUAACCCGUCGCAAGUCGGCCUAAUACCUCAUGGCAUCGUCUGCGGGCAUCCAACGACGAUUAAAGAUUUCAUCGGUCAGAGAUGGGGAUGCGUCUGAUUAGCUUGUUGGCGGGGUAACGGCCCACCAAGGCGACGAUCAGUAGGGGUUCUGAGAGGAAGGUCCCCCACAAUGGAACUGAGACACGGUACAAACUCGUACGGGAGGCAGCAGUGAGGAAUAUUGGUCAAUGGGCGAGAGACUGAACCAGCCAAGUAGCGUGCAGGAUGACGGCCCUAUGGGUUGUAAACUGCUUUGAUGCGGGGAUAAAGUGAGGGACGUGUCCUUCAUUGCAGGUACCGCAUGAAUAAGGACCGGCUAAUUCCGUG
rnacentral:rRNA from 1 species